rnacentral:rRNA from 1 species
GGUAGUCCACGCCGUAAACGAUGUCGACUUGGAGGUUGUGCCCUUGAGGCGUGGCUUCCGGAGCUAACGCGUUAAGUCGACCGCCUGGGGAGUACGGCCGCAAGGUUAAAACUCAAAUGAAUUGACGGGGGCCCGCACAAGCGGUGGAGCAUGUGGUUUAAUUCGAUGCAACGCGAAGAACCUUACCUACUCUUGACAUCCAGAGAACUUAGCAGAGAUGCUUUGGUGCCUUUGGGAACUCUGAGACAGGUGCUGCAUGGCUGUCGUCAGCUCGUGUUGUGAAAUGUUGGGUUAAGUCCCGCAACGAGCGCAACCCUUAUCCUUUGUUGCCAGCGGUUAGGCCGGGAACUCAAAGGAGACUGCCAGUGAUAAACUGGAGGAAGGUGGGGAUGACGUCAAGUCAUCAUGGCCCUUACGAGUAGGGCUACACACGUGCUACAAUGGCGCAUACAAAGAGAAGCGACCUCGCGAGAGCAAGCGGACCUCAUAAAGUGCGUCGUAGUCCGGAUUGGAGUCUGCAACUCGACUCCAUGAAGUCGGAAUCGCUAGUAAUCGUAGAUCAGAAUGCUACGGUGAAUACGUUCCCGGGCCUUGUACACACCGCCCGUCACACCAUGGGAGUGGGUUGCAAAAGAAGUAGGUAGCUUAACCUUCGGGAGGGCGCUUACCACUUUGUGAUUCAUGACUGGGGUGAAGUCGUAACAAGGUAACCGUAGGGGAACCUGC